GCUUUCAAAAUACUACAGUUUACUAGUCAUAAUUUUUUCCGUCAGCUACAAUCUCUCAAGAAGAUUGUUUUAGCUUUUUUAGGGGUAUAAUCCUGUAACAUAUAUCCAUAGUAGUUUGUCCAUGCAUUUUAUUAAAUUUUCAGUUGGUAAACUUUUCAAGAUUGCUUGCAGAUGUUUUCUCCUGUCCCUUUUGGAGAGGCAGUAAAUUCAUUUUGAUACAUUCCUUAAAUUUUAAAUGUCUUUUACUGAGAUAUAUUAUUGCCGAUAGCAAUAACUAUUAACUUCUAGAGUUUUGUAGAUGGUCAUUUUAUUAGUUGAUUGUUGCCUAGGCUAUCUUUCUACAGCUGAAUUAAAUUUCAUGUGUCAUAUGCCAUUGCAAAGCUGACUUCUCUCUCUUUCCCCCCUUAAAUUUAAGCUGCUUUGUGCUAGCAUUUUAGUGCACUGAACUAUGUUUAAAACUUUGUACCUGGAUAUCUAGCAUGGAUAUCUAGCAUUGAUGCAAUUAUCUGGUUCUGACAUAGUACUUGUAAAGUCUAAAACUCAUGCUCUUGUCUAAAAAAUAAUGUCAUUGUGGUUAGCGAGAACUAUUAGCCUCCAGAUGUUUGUAGAUUGGUCAUUCUAUUAGUUAAUUGUUUGUUGGACCAUAUUUCUACAGCUGAAUUAAAUUUCAUGUGUCAUAUGUCAGUCGCCAUGCUAAUCUUUUUUGCUAAACUUAGGAUGCCCUUUGUUAAAAAUUUUAUUGCACUGAACUAUGGUUGAAAAUUUGUUACGUGGAUAUCUAGCAUUGAUACUAUCAUCUGGUAUCCAACAUAGCAUGUGUAAAAUCUGAAACUCAUACGCUUGUCUGGAAGAUAAUGUUAUAUAAAACUGAUCACUUGUCUAAAAGACAAUGCUUUAAAUUACCAAUAACUUUUUUACCAGCUAGUUUGGAUCAAUGUAGAUCUAUGAUAGAUCAUGAUUUAAGCAUAGCACUAUCAUGUUAUUAAAUAACAAAUAGUACUCUUCUGUCCAAAAUGGAAGAUUAUAUGAUCUCUUUUAUUUGAUGAACGUUCCAAGGGGGCAUAUUGGUUAAUGUUAACAGCGACAUCUAGAAAACCUUUAAGAAGUGUUUCACAAGUUUAAUAAUUAUUGUUGUCUUAUUUUGGUUGAUGCAUGUUGGUUGUGUCACAUGGAGAUCACAUUUUAGGGUUUUACCAUGCCUCCGUGUGAACAUGACAUGAGGAAUGGUGGAACGUGCCUUGGACAUACCUGGUUCCAUGUCUCAGACUGGUGGUGCCCCUCUUACUUGAGGGAAAUGUUGUCUUUGAUGCCAAGUUGCUGACUGAGGUUACUUCGUGUUCCCCCUUUCCUUACCUCCUUUCUUAAAUAAGUUUAUAAUGGUGGUUGUUCAUGGCAUACUUGCUGUUCCGAUCAUAAUAGCAACAUCAGUUCUGCUAUGUAGGUAAAACUUCCCUUUCUUUAAUAUUCUGGCCAACCCACUUUUGUUUGUUUUUUUUAUAUUGUCUGAGUUAUUUUUUGAAGAAAAACUUGUGAUGAAAAGGAUCUUCUUCUACACUUCUUUCGUUUAUUAGAUAGCACAUAUAUACACUUUGUGUUCGCUUUUAUCUCAAAAUUGUCCCCAUGUUAGACAGAUUCAGAUUAUCAUGAGCAGUGAGAUCUUGUCAUAUAUGAAGUCUAAGACAUAUAAGCACAACCCAUGUAUAAAUUGGUCAUAUCUUAUACAAAUUUCAAUUCAAAUCUCAAAAUGUCUGGAACAUAUAAUGGCAGUUCUGAAACUUUUUGAAGAUAAUUGCAAUCUGAAAAAAAUCGACUUUCUCAAUACUACCCUUUAGGGUAGCCUAUGAAUAUAAAGAACUCCCAACAUGUGCAUGAACUGAUAAAAGUAAUUUAUCAUUUUCUGGUCUAAACAUAAUUGUUGAGAGGUAGGGCCCUUAAGAGGUUAUGAUGCUUGAAUUUCUUCUCAGAUGAAAUGACAAUCGAGUUCUAUGUGUUCUCUUUGAUUGUUAAAAGCCAGAUUGGCUGUAAAUGUAGAGGUAGCUUAAUUGCCACAAGCAGAAGUGCAAGUUGGGGAUGAGCAACAUACCAUAACCAUGUGACUUCAUUGUAUAUGGAUACUUACAGAACUUGCCAAACAAGGGGAGAUCAGAGCCUGCAAAUUAAACAGAUCGCUUGAUGACCUAGAGAAAGCCUUAUGUUAAUGGUUGCUAAAUUCCUUAGGUCUGUUUGCGAUGUUGGCUAUAAGCAAACUUUGGCAGACAAGGCACAGCAUUCACUGAUCCUUGUCUAUGCACAAGGUAUCUUCGUGAAUGAGUUUAAUAUGUAGGAUACUAGCGCUCAAAGAAUUUCAUGGAUAAUUUCUUAAUUUGAAUACUUUUGGGCAUUUAAGUUGCUCAAUCAUGUCUUGGCAUUUGCUUAACAUGCAAAUGUAGAGGUCUGCAAACUUUUAUCUGGAGCAAAACAUACGCCUAAUUACAGCCGAUGGAGAUUUAUCAGAGAAUCCUCCUCCAUAUUGACAUUUUUGUGUAUUGCUUGGUAUUUUUGACUGUCAUUCAACGUCAAUAUUAUUUACUCUGAUCACAUUCCAAGUCAUGCUGAGUUAGGCCUAAAAACCUUGGUAACAAACUUCACUUUGAGUGCAAGGUUAUCUCUUAAACUCAGCCAAACAAGAAUUAUAUAUGUGUGCCUAUAGUAUAUUUCCAACUUUGUGUGUGUUAUGACUCAAAUUAAGCUAGUUGCAUUGACAGUAGAUACUUUCUAUGGACUACUUUCCCGUGCUUAUCCCUAAUCCCAUUACUUAGAAAGCCAAAAAGCAAACUGCCGUCUCUUGGGCAUUAGCUGAUGUGGAGCUCCAGGCCAUGGCAUCUAGCAGUCAUAUGGUAGUGACAUUAAUAAUUAUGGCUUGCUAAUCCCUAACCUGUGCUCCUGGUUUGUGACCAUCAAACUUCCUCAGAAUUUGCAGCUAAUCCCUUUUUCACCAAGGAAACAAAAACAUGUAGAGCUUAAUUGUCCUUACAUCCAAGUAAAACCAAACUGGCAUCAUAACCUCCUAUACCACUAAACAAGUUGCCAAUUGUUUCCACUGGACCGGUGAUGAGGAAUUCUUGUUGUUUGCGUAUGUGCAUGUUGGUUGUUUUGGAUGUCCACACACCACCUUAAGGGGAAGUACUUAGAAAAUUGAGGUUUUGGAAAUGGAACAAUCUCCAAACAAUUCAAGACACUUUAUUACAUAUAAAAAAAUAUGUUCAGAUUUGGUUUUGAAUAUGUAGAAGUUACGAUCAAUUGCUAGAUGGGCUUGUCAUGCAUGGUAUACUCCAUAUAUGACAGGAUCCUAUCACUCAUGAAUAACAUAAGAAAACCACUUGAUUGAAAAUCCUUUUAGCAUUUUGGUAUUUCAUAAUCAAAUUAUCAAAGAUAAUACUAAUAACAAUGGCAGAAACGAGGCUGCAAGAUAUCAAGGAUAAUAAUUUUUAAAGAUGUGGAAUUGUUAGAAAAAAGAAUGAAAUACUUGGAAAUAAUCAAUCAUGGGUGGGAAAAGGAACAAAACAGACACACACACACACACACACACACACACACAGAGAGAGAGAGAGAGAGAGAGAGAGAGAGAGAGAGAGGAAACCAGUAUCCAUCAGAUUAGUUGGAGAUCGUGGCUGCUUCAAAGAAGGUGACGAAGAGGACCGAUGCUUCGGAAUUGGUAUGCCGUAGUCCUAGCCUCCCACUCUUUUUUUUUUUUAAAAAAAAAAAUAGUUUGGUGUGUGGGGGGAGGGAGGGAGUUCUUUGGAUCUCUCUCUCUCUCGCUCUCUCUCCUUCUUUCGUUGCCCUCCUUGUCAGUUUUUUCUGGCUUGUUCUUUCAUCAGGCUAGGAAAUUACGGUCUGUUUUUUUGGGCUUUCUUUUCUUUGACAAGCUAUGAAAUGGCAGGACAGAUUUUGUUUUGGUUUUACCUUUUGAUGUGAUAAAAAACCAGGGUUAUGAGCAUUAAAUCAAGCGAGAGUAAAACCAUGAAACAUUGUCUGUGAAACAUGUCACGUAAGGCAUGAAAAUUUCGCUAGAAAGUGCCAUGUACAAAUGCAGGAAAGUAGUGUUAGGCAAAUGAAGUGUAGAGAAUGCCAGGUUGUUGCAGGAAGUCUUCAGUUCGUUGAAAGCAUUGUUAUUUAAACAGAAUUCAAAACUGUUUGCAAGUUUAAAAGGAGAUUUCCAAAGCUAAGUCUGAACUCCAAAAUUAUGCACUCUUGUAA